CCCUGUCUUCCCUGCUCCUGCCUGCCCCCUCCUGCCUGCCCUGCUCUCCCCUGCCUCCUCCUGACUACCCUGCUCCCCCCCGCCUGCUAUGCCUAUUCCCUGUCCUGCUCCAUGACUCCUGCCAGCCCUAUUCCCUCCUGUCUCCUGCCUCCUUCCAGCCAAGCUCUCUGCCUGCUGCCUGCCCUGCUCCUUGCCUGCACAGCCUGCUUCCUGUCCUGCUACUCCUGUUCCCUGCCUCCUGCCAGCGCUGGCUGCUGACUCCUGCCUGUCCAGCUCCCUGACUGCCCUACCUCCUGCCUCCCAACAUGCCUCUCCUGUCUGCCAACCGAUCUCUCCGGUAUCUGCAUCCCUGCUGCCUGCCCGCUCUUUGCCCUGACUGCUUCUUUCUGCUGCUCAUUGCAUUCCCUGUCUCAAUGUUCCCUGCCUCCACUGCUGGCCUCAUGCCUGCCCUGACUCCCUACUCUCUGCCUCUUCUGCCUCUUACUUGACCUGCUCCUUCCCUGUCUCCAUAUCUUGUUCCCUGCGUCUCUUCUUUGCCCUGCUGCUUCUACUUCCCUUACCUCUCCUCCCUCCUCUGCUUCACCUGUCUCCCUUGCCUUUCCUUGCCCUGCUUACUGCUUCCUGCCUCCUAUAUAUCCUGCCUCCUCUUCCUCCAGUUGUCCUUGUCCUGCUUCUCUGAUUCUUUUCUCUCUGCCUUCCUCCAUUCUGCCUUCCCUGUCUGCUCUCCUCCCUGCCCCACUCCCUUGUCUCCUUUCCUCCCUGCCCCUGUUUCCCCACAUUCCUCAAUUUCCUGCCCUUUCUUCCCCUCCUGUCUUCUUUCUCCAUCACCAGUUUCCAUCCUUCCUGCAAGAGGGCAUGGCACUGUAAAAAUCAACUCAGCAGCUCAGCUUGUAAGAAUAGCAGGACAGCUUCAGGUUGGUGCUGCAGACAUACCUGCCCUACAUACUGUGCAGAGAGCAGAGAAGAUCAGUUGAGUUUCUGCCAUGUUUUGUGCUGUGCCAUGGCUAAAUUGGCACACUGGACAUUUAGAUGCAGCCUGAGGGCAAUCUGUAAGUAACUCAAACUAGAAAAAAGAUUGUAGAAUGAGUAGGAAGGCAUGAUGUAUUGUUUUUACUGAACUGAAGGAAAUGUUAGUUUUUGUACCUGAGCUGAGAGAUUCUACCCUGGGAAAAUGUGAGAAACCAUCAAAUUCCCCACACAGCUGUUACAGUCACAAACAGUCACUGUUUUCAUAAUGACAAGAAGGAACAAAUCCCUCGUGAAGGUUUACAGGAGCACCAGUACUUGGAGCAGAAAACUUUACAAUAUUUAACUCAUUAAUGUUCACUGGGAGAAUCUGGUCCCUUGGGAAAGACUACAGAGAAGUAGUGGUGAGGCCACAGUUGGAGUAUUGGGUCCUCUUCUGGGCUCCUCAGUACAAGGGAGACAAGAACAUAUAAGAGAAAAUCUGACAAAGGGUCCAGGGGAU
rnacentral:lncRNA from 1 species